AUGCAAGUCGAGGGAAACGAUAUUGGAAGCUUGCUUCCGAUAGGCGUCGACCGGCGCACGGGUGAGUAACGCGUAUCCAACCUGCCCACACUUGGGGAUAACCUUGCGAAAGUAAGACUAAUACCCAAUGACGUCUCUAGAAGACAUCUGAAAGAGAUUAAAGAUUUAUUGGUGAUGGAUGGGGAUGCGUCUGAUUAGCUGUUGCGGGGUAACGGCCCACCAAGGCGACGAUCAUAGGGGGUUCUGAGAGGAAGGUCCCCCACAUUGGAACUGAGACACGGUCCAAACUCCUACGGGAGGCAGCAGUGAGGAAUAUUGGGUCAAUGGGCGAGAGCCUGAACCAGCCAAGUAGCGUGCAGGAAGACGGCCCUAUGGGUUGUAAACUGCUUUUAUAAGGGAAUAAAGUUAGUCUCGUGAGACUUUUUGCAUGUACCUUAUGAAUAAGGACCGGCUAAUUCCGUG
rnacentral:rRNA from 1 species